UUCCAGCAAACAAACGGGGCCUUAGUUAUGACAUAUCUAUACCCCACUUCUCAAAAUCAUUUAUUAUCACAAAUCCAGUUACAUCAAGUCUCAUUGGCUCCA
rnacentral:pre_miRNA from 1 species